rnacentral:tRNA from 1 species
UUCACAUGCCUUCUAAUCUCUUAAAAAUAAUUUAUCUUUCAGCGACAAAGCUGUCAAGUCCGAUAUAUUUUUCAAAGUGUUUAUUUCUGCUCACGCAUUCAAUUAUUGAAUGACAAAACUGUCAAGUCUUAUAUAUUUGUCAAAGUGUUUAUUUAUGAUCACUAUUCAAGUAUUCAAAUAAGCAUUCUUUACUGAAUUUCCAGUUUAAUAUUCAGGUAAUCAAAACCAGCCCGAUAUAGGACUCGAACCCAUGGCCCUCAGAUUAAAAGUCUGAUGCUCUACCAACUGAGCUAACCGGGCACCUAUGCAAGUGUUGUGAAAUUAACGAAUCAAUGUUUUUUAUCCUAUGAAUAAUUUUUGAUUCAACGACAAUGGAAGCAGGUCGAAAGUAACCUUCUCGUUAGGAGAUGGAUUAAAAAAUAUUUUUACGAACGUAUUUUUUUGAAAAUUUCACAUGCCUUCUAAUCUCUUAAAAAUAAUUUAUCUUUCAGCGACAAAGCUGUCAAAUCCGAUAUGUUUUUCAAAGUGUUUAUUUCUGCUCACGCAUUCAAUUAUUGAACGACAAAGCUGUCAAGUCCGAUAUGUUUUUCAAAGUGUUUAUUUCUGCUCACGCAUUCAAUUAUUGAACGACAAAGCUGUCAAGUCCGAUAUAUUUUUCAAAGUGUUUAUUUCUGCUCACGCAUUCAAUUAUUGAACGACAAAGCUGUCAAGUCCGAUAUAUUUUUCAAAGUGUUUAUUUCUGCUCACGCAUUCAAUUAUUGAACGACAAAGCUGUCAAAUCCGUUAUAUUUUUCAAGGUGUUUCUUUCUGCUCAACCAUUCAAUUAUUGAACGACAAAGCUGU